GCCUGGCUAGCUCAAUCGGUAGAGCAUUUGACUCUUAGAAUUAGUUAAAAGUCAUCAAAAGGUUGCGGGUUCGAGCCCCGCGUUGGGCU
rnacentral:tRNA from 1 species